UACGUAGGGUGCAAGCGUUAAUCGGAAUUACUGGGCGUAAAGCGUGCGCAGGCGGCUCGGCAAGUCAGAGGUGAAAUCCCCGGGCUUAACCUGGGAACUGCAUUGGUGACUGCAUCGCUCGAGUAUGGCAGAGGGGGGUAGAAUUCCACGUGUAGCAGUGAAAUGCGUAGAGAUGCGGAGGAACACCGAUGGCGAAGGCAGCCCCCUGGGCUAACACUGACGCUGAGGCACGAAAGCUAGGGGAGCAAACAGG
rnacentral:rRNA from 1 species